ACUGACACUCCUACGGGAGGCAGCAGUGGGAAUAUGCGCAAUGGGCGCAAGCCUGAUGCAGCCAUGCCGCGUGUGUGAAGAAGGCCUUCGGGUUGUAAAGCACUUCAGUCGUGAGGAAGGUAGUGUAGUUAAUAGCUGCAUUAUUUGACGUUAGCGACAGAAGAAGCACCGGCUAACUCCGUGCCAGCAGCCGCGGUAAUACGGAGGGUGCGAGCGUUAAUCGGAAUUACUGGGCGUAAAGCGCAUGCAGGUGGUUUGUUAAGUCAGAUGUGAAAGCCCGGGGCUCAACCUCGGAAUUGCAUUUGAAACUGGCAGACUAGAGUACUGUAGAGGGGGUAGAAUUUCAGGUGUAGCGGUGAAAUGCGUAGAGAUCUGAAGGAAUACCGGUGGCGAAGGCGGCCCCCUGGACAGAUACUGACACUCAGAUGCGAAAGCGUGGGGAGCAAACAGGAUUAGAUACCCUGGUAG
rnacentral:rRNA from 1 species